UCUGCAGGGCGCGUGCUCUGAGGGCAGGUCUGUCCCACGGAUGGUCAGCGUUGCUUAGGCCGUAGCAGAUAUCAUUGAGCUGGACUAAAGCAACCAGCACAUCCUCAUGCUAUAGCCUGAGCAGCAGAUCCAGCUACUAAGUCAAAGCCUGCUCAGUCUAGCCGUCCAGCUGGAGCCUCAGGCCCCCAGCAACUCCUCUGCAGUAUUUAGCUGAGUUUGUUUGUCUUCUGAGGAUAAAAGCUCUUUACAGGACUCUGCCCUGCUGCCCUCCUAAUUUCCUGUCACUUUGCUGAGCUUCUCGGCUGGCUGAAGGUUGAACAUAAAUAAAUCACCCAGCGAGAUGAAGAAGAGCUUGGAAUAAGACUCAUUAACAUGCAAAAGACUGAGGAGACCUGAGGUUGGGAUUUCUGUAGGACAUUUCCUUGCCCGUCGUACAAGGUGGCGACAUCUUUAUGAUUUUAUUGUUAUAACAAGACAGCUGUAGAGAAAUCGAGCAGUGGAAUGAACUCUACCUCCCACAGGCCUUGUCCUGUUGACAUCAGCUAAAGAACAGCUAAAAUGCAAGUUAUCCUGUACUUCUGACACCAUGUAUGGCUUCUGCAUCAGAUGGUUCUUUCUAUGCUGAAGGAAACUGACACUACAGUCAGGGAGAGAGGUUCGGCAUUU